rnacentral:rRNA from 1 species
UUAAGCGACUAAGCGUACACGGUGGAUGCCCUGGCAGUCAGAGGCGAUGAAGGACGUGCUAAUCUGCGAUAAGCGUCGGUAAGGUGAUAUGAACCGUUAUAACCGGCGAUUUCCGAAUGGGGAAACCCAGUGUGUUUCGACACACUAUCAUUAACUGAAUCCAUAGGUUAAUGAGGCGAACCGGGGGAACUGAAACAUCUAAGUACCCCGAGGAAAAGAAAUCAACCGAGAUUCCCCCAGUAGCGGCGAGCGAACGGGGAGGAGCCCAGAGCCUGAAUCAGUGUGUGUGUUAGUGGAAGCGUCUGGAAAGGCGCGCGAUACAGGGUGACAGCCCCGUACACAAAAAUGCACAUGCUGUGAGCUCGAUGAGUAGGGCGGGACACGUGGUAUCCUGUCUGAAUAUGGGGGGACCAUCCUCCAAGGCUAAAUACUCCUGACUGACCGAUAGUGAACCAGUACCGUGAGGGAAAGGCGAAAAGAACCCCGGCGAGGGGAGUGAAAAAGAACCUGAAACCGUGUACGUACAAGCAGUGGGAGCCUCUUUUAUGGGGUGACUGCGUACCUUUUGUAUAAUGGGUCAGCGACUUAUAUUCUGUAGCAAGGUUAACCGAAUAGGGGAGCCGAAGGGAAACCGAGUCUUAACUGGGCGUUAAGUUGCAGGGUAUAGACCCGAAACCCGGUGAUCUAGCCAUGGGCAGGUUGAAGGUUGGGUAACACUAACUGGAGGACCGAACCGACUAAUGUUGAAAAAUUAGCGGAUGACUUGUGGCUGGGGGUGAUAGGCCAAUCAAACCGGGAGAUAGCUGGUUCUCCCGAAAGCUAUUUAGGUAGCGCCUCGUGAAUUCAUCUCCGGGGUAGAGCACUGUUUCGGCAAGGGGGUCAUCCCGACUUACCAACCCGAUGCAAACUGCGAAUACCGGAGAAUGUUAUCACGGGAGACACACGGCGGGUGCUAACGUCCGUCGUGAAGAGGGAACAACCCAGACCGCCAGCUAAGGUCCCAAAGUCAUGGUUAAGUGGGAAACGAUGUGGGAAGGCCCAGACAGCCAGGAUGUUGGCUUAGAAGCAGCCAUCAUUUAAAGAAAGCGUAAUAGCUCACUGGUCGAGUCGGCCUGCGCGGAAGAUGUAACGGGGGCUAAACCAUGCACCGAAGCUGCGGCAGCGACACUGUGUGUUGUUGGGUAGGGGAGCGUUCUGUAAGCCUGUGAAGGUGUGCUGUGAGGCAUGCUGGAGGUAUCAGAAGUGCGAAUGCUGACAUAAGUAACGAUAAAGCGGGUGAAAAGCCCGCUCGCCGGAAGACCAAGGGUUCCUGUCCAACGUUAAUCGGGGCAGGGUGAGUCGACCCCUAAGGCGAGGCCGAAAGGCGUAGUCGAUGGGAAACAGGUUAAUAUUCCUGUACUUGGUGUUACUGCGAAGGGGGGACGGAGAAGGCUAUGUUGGCCGGGCGACGGUUGUCCCGGUUUAAGCGUGUAGGCUGGUUUUCCAGGCAAAUCCGGAAAAUCAAGGCUGAGGCGUGAUGACGAGGCACUACGGUGCUGAAGCAACAAAUGCCCUGCUUCCAGGAAAAGCCUCUAAGCAUCAGGUAACAUCAAAUCGUACCCCAAACCGACACAGGUGGUCAGGUAGAGAAUACCAAGGCGCUUGAGAGAACUCGGGUGAAGGAACUAGGCAAAAUGGUGCCGUAACUUCGGGAGAAGGCACGCUGAUAUGUAGGUGAAGUCCCUCGCGGAUGGAGCUGAAAUCAGUCGUAGAUACCAGCUGGCUGCAACUGUUUAUUAAAAACACAGCACUGUGCAAACACGAAAGUGGACGUAUACGGUGUGACGCCUGCCCGGUGCCGGAAGGUUAAUUGAUGGGGUCAGCGCAAGCGAAGCUCUUGAUCGAAGCCCCGGUAAACGGCGGCCGUAACUAUAACGGUCCUAAGGUAGCGAAAUUCCUUGUCGGGUAAGUUCCGACCUGCACGAAUGGCGUAAUGAUGGCCAGGCUGUCUCCACCCGAGACUCAGUGAAAUUGAACUCGCUGUGAAGAUGCAGUGUACCCGCGGCAAGACGGAAAGACCCCGUGAACCUUUACUAUAGCUUGACACUGAACAUUGAGCCUUGAUGUGUAGGAUAGGUGGGAGGCUUUGAAGUGUGGACGCCAGUCUGCAUGGAGCCGACCUUGAAAUACCACCCUUUAAUGUUUGAUGUUCUAACGUGGACCCGUGAUCCGGGUUGCGGACAGUGUCUGGUGGGUAGUUUGACUGGGGCGGUCUCCUCCUAAAGAGUAACGGAGGAGCACGAAGGUUGGCUAAUCCUGGUCGGACAUCAGGAGGUUAGUGCAAUGGCAUAAGCCAGCUUGACUGCGAGCGUGACGGCGCGAGCAGGUGCGAAAGCAGGUCAUAGUGAUCCGGUGGUUCUGAAUGGAAGGGCCAUCGCUCAACGGAUAAAAGGUACUCCGGGGAUAACAGGCUGAUACCGCCCAAGAGUUCAUAUCGACGGCGGUGUUUGGCACCUCGAUGUCGGCUCAUCACAUCCUGGGGCUGAAGUAGGUCCCAAGGGUAUGGCUGUUCGCCAUUUAAAGUGGUACGCGAGCUGGGUUUAGAACGUCGUGAGACAGUUCGGUCCCUAUCUGCCGUGGGCGCUGGAGAACUGAGGGGGGCUGCUCCUAGUACGAGAGGACCGGAGUGGACGCAUCACUGGUGUUCGGGUUGUCAUGCCAAUGGCACUGCCCGGUAGCUAAAUGCGGAAGAGAUAAGUGCUGAAAGCAUCUAAGCACGAAACUUGCCCCGAGAUGAGUUCUCCCUGACCCUUUAAGGGUCCUGAAGGAACGUUGAAGACGACGACGUUGAUAGGCCGGGUGUGUAAGCGCAGCGAUGCGUUGAGCUAACCGGUACUAAUGAACCGUGAGGCUUAACCUU